GUAGGUGGCAAGCGUUGUCCGGAAUUAUUGGGCGUAAAGCGCGCGCAGGCGGUCCUUUAAGUCUGAUGUGAAAGCCCACGGCUCAACCGUGGAGGGUCAUUGGAAACUGGGGGACUUGAGUACAGAAGAGGAAAGCGGAAUUCCAAGUGUAGCGGUGAAAUGCGUAGAGAUUUGGAGGAACACCAGUGGCGAAGGCGGCUUUCUGGUCUGUAACUGACGCUGAGGCGCGAAAGCGUGGGGAGCAAACAGGAUUAGAUACCCUGGUAGUCCACGCCGUAAACGAUGAGUGCUAAGUGUUAGGGGGUUUCCCGCCCCCUUAGUGCUGCAGCUAACGCAUCAAGCACUCCGCCUGGGGAGUACGGCCGCAAGGCUG
rnacentral:rRNA from 1 species